UGUAUGUAAUAUUAUCACAGUGUGCUGUCAAUAAAACAUCCAAGCAGUGAUACACCCGUAAUACAAUUUGAAGAUGUAUCGAUAUUUUUUAACGACAACGGUAAAAUAGAUGUCUUGCGCGCAUUCAAAUACAAUCUAUUACUGACACACCAAUUCGCAACAAGUUUGAUGCUGUUUUCAACAUCCCGGACUGCUACAUCGACAUCUUCACUGGUUCCAAUUAAUGUCGCGCCAUCCGCAUAAAGUCUGCAGUCGAUAUUUGGUGACACCGAUGAAGGCAGGUCAUUUACAUAAAUUAGGAAAAGAAUAGGGCCUAGAAUAGAACCCUGAGGAACUCCAUGUCGUAGGGGCAAUUUGUUCGAUAGAACAUUAUUGAAUCUUACGCGUUGAUGUCUUCCCUUUGAAUACGAGGUGAACGCUUCGUUCACCAAAAUUGUACACAAACUUUAGUUUAUUCAACAAGCAUUCGAAAACACCAUGCACAAAUGUGGAGAUGGCAUCAGGCGUCCUUCUCCCCUACUGUUUGUGAUAAAAAAGAUUAUUAGUCUCAAAAUGAUUUGCAAUUGCAUUCGCAUAAUUUAUUUGGCGUAAAUUAUCUUUUGCCAUUGAAUGAGAAGAAAUGUUAUCACUGACCUUAACAUUGAGCGAUUGAAAUUUAUUUAACAAUAAAACUUGAUUUUGCAAUGAUUUAAUUGUGAUGUCUUGGUUAACAAUCACUUUGUCUUUUUCAGCAAUUAACUCUCUUAAAAAUUUAAUUUCAAGUUCAAAAAACUUAUCGUUAUCGUCCACCAGAAGAACACUAUCACUAUCACAGCAAUUUACAUGCUUGUCGUCUAGAGCCCGGUUCCGGCACGUCCGUACCGCCUGGCGUCAUGGUAUAGGUUGCAAACAAUGACUUUUAAAUCUCAAUCAGUGACUAAUGACUGAUAAAGAUUAAUUAGUCACGUAUCCACUUAGCAAAGCCAAAGGGUGUAGCACAGUAUUUCAUUUUGUUUCAACAAUUAAAAUAAAUAAACUGCGAUGGCUCAACAAGAACCUUCUACAUCGGUGAAACACCGGACUUUUAUGAGAGAACCAAUGGGUAAUAAGCCGGUAAACCAUUUGCCGGGUAUCGGCCAGGUGACCAGUGCCCGAAUGAAUGAAAGAAACAUUACUCAGGCGUAUCAAGUUUACGGAAAAUAUCUGUUCUUAAAGCGAGAUCGUGUUGAAUUUGAAAAUUGGUUGAAAAAUGAUUUUAAUGUCAACAGCAAGCGAGCAACGGACUGUUUUAAUGCGAUGGAUAGUUAUUACAUCCAGUUCCAAUAACUCGCUCUAGCACUCGCUUGAAAUAAUUUUGUCCGUUUAUAGAUGUUUAUAUCUGUUGAGACAAUAAAGAUUUACUAUUUUUUCCUA